UACGGGAGGCAGCAGUGGGGAAUUUUGGACAAUGGGGGCAACCCUGAUCCAGCCAUUCCGCGUGAGUGAAGAAGGCCUUCGGGUUGUAAAGCUCUUUCAGCUGGAACGAAACGGUACGCUCUAACAUAGCGUGCUAAUGACGGUACCAGCAGAAGAAGCACCGGCUAACUACGUGCCAGCAGCCGCGGUAAUACGUAGGGUGCGAGCGUUUAUCUGAAUUACUGGGCGUAAAGCGUGCGCAGGCGGAUUUUUAAGCAAGACGUGAAAUCCCCGGGCUUAACCUGGGAAUGGCGUUUUGAACUGGCAGUCUAGAGUGUGUCAGAGGGGGGUAGAAUUCCACGUGUAGCAGUGAAAUGCGUAGAGAUGUGGAGGAAUACCAAUGGCGAAGGCAGCCCCCUGGGAUAACACUGACGCUCAUGUACGAAAGCGUGGGUAGCAAACACGAUUAGAUACCCCGGUAGUCCACGCCCUAAACGAUGUCAACUGGUUGUUGGGGGAGUGAAAUCCCUUAGUAACGAAGCUAACGCGUGAAGUUGUCCGCCUGG
rnacentral:rRNA from 1 species